AACUGAUACCUGUUAAGCAUGUAGCCCAGGGCUUUGUGCUUGCCAGGCAAACUCUAUCAAUUAAACUUCACCCCAGCCCCAGGCAGUAUUCUUACACUAGCCUACUAUGAAUCCCUUAAAUGUAUAAUUUAGAAUAUGUCGGUUAUAAUGUUGUAGGUUCAUUUGAACGAAAGAGGAAAUAUUGGUGGGUGAACUAUACUUGUGCACUAAAAUAAAGCGUUUUAAAUAUUUUUCCAUUAGAAACUUGAAUGAAUGAUCAUCUUUCACUUAUGGCCUAAGAAGACUCAUAAAAAAUUCACUUUGGAAAGCAGGGGAUGACAAUAUUACUGUCAAAGAAAGUAGAAUUUAAGGAAAGAGAGUCACAUGAAUCCAAGAGUGUUCUUUAAUGUACACGAGGAAGAACAGAUUCUGGAGCUAAUUUGAGAAAAUGUCUAAACCCCUUGAAGAUCAGCUUCAUAAAUCCUGAGAGUCCGAGGUGCGCUCAAGGGUAGGGACUGCUGAUGUUGACCACGUAAGCCUUGCUUGCCAUGGUACCUCC
rnacentral:lncRNA from 1 species